GACGAACGCUGGCGGCGGGCUUAACACAUGCAAGUCGAACGGAAAGGCCCUGCUUGUGUGGGGUGCUCGAGUGGCGAACGGGUGAGGAACACGUGAGUAACCUGCCCUUGACUUUGGUAUAACUUCAGGAAACUGGGGCUAAUACCGUAUAGGAGCUCCUCCUGCAUUGUGGGGGUUGGAAAUUUUUGGCGUGUGGGGAUGGACUCGCGGCUUAUCAGCUUGUUGGUGGGGUAGUGGAUUACCAAGGAUUUGACGGGUAGCCGGACUGAGAGGGUGACAGGCUCCAGUGUGACUGAGGUACCGCCCAGACUCAUAAGGGAGGCAGGAGUGGGGAAUAGUGCAAGAUGGGCGGCAGCCUGAUGCAGCAACGCCGCGUGGGGGAUGACUGUUUUCGGGUUGGAAAACGCGUACGCUUGUGCCGAAGUGUGAGUGCGGUACAUGGGUAAAGAAGCACCGCCUACUUCCGU
rnacentral:rRNA from 1 species